rnacentral:tRNA from 1 species
AAGGAAUUAACUCAAUUGGUAGAGUAUCUGUUUUACACACAGAAAGUUAAGCGUUCGAACCGCUUAUUCCUUA